rnacentral:rRNA from 1 species
UAAUACUCCAUAGAUUACAGACACUGGAAUGUUCUUUAGUCGAAAGUUCUGGCGCCUUAGGAUGGAUCUGCGGUCGAUUACGUUGUUGUUGGGUAACGGCCCAACAAGCCUGUAAUCGAUACGGGUUGUGGGAGCAAGAGCCCGGAGAUGGAAUCUGAGACACGAUUCCAGGCCCUACGGGGCGCAGCAGGCGCGAAAACUUUACAAUGCAGGAAACUGUGAUAAGGGAACUCCGAGUGCCCGUAUACGCGGGCUGUCCAGGUGUUUAAAAAUCAUCUGAAGAAAGGGCCGGGCAAGACCGGUGCCAGCCGCCGCGGUAAUACCGGCGGCUCGAGUGGUGGCCACUAUUAUUGGGCUUAAAGCGUCCGUAGCUGGACCGAUAAGUCUCUUGGGAAAUCCGCCGGCUCAACCGGCGGGCGUCUAAGGGAUACUGUUAGUCUACGGACCGGGAGAGGUGAGAGGUACUCCGGGGGUAGGAGUGAAAUCCUGUAAUCCCCGGGGGACCACCGAUGGCGAAGGCAUCUCACCAGAACGGCUCCGACAGUGAGGGACGAAAGCUGGGGGAGCGAACCCGGAUUAAAUACCCGGGUAGUCCCAACCGUACACUAUGCGCGUUAGGUGU